UCACACAAUUAAAAUUAUCACAAUCUUCAUUUAUGCGUUUGCACUUCUAUUUUUUAAGCUUCAAAAUUUUUAUAUUUCUAAAUCUCUGGAACUAAUUUCUGUGUUAAGAACUGCCAAAUUCAAGGUUUCAAGGAGACCUUCACAUAUCAGGGGCAAAACAAAAUUCACACAAUUAAAAUUAUCACAAUCUUCAUUUAUGCGUUUGCACUUCUAUUUUUUAAGCUUCAAAAUUUUUAUAUUUCUAAAUCUCUGGAACUAAUUUCUGUGUUAAGAACUGCCAAAUUCAAGGUUUCAAGGAGACCUUCACAUAUCAGGGGCAAAACAAAAUUCACACAAUUAAAAUUAUCACAAUCUUCAUUUAUGCGUUUGCACUUCUAUUUUUUAAGCUUCAAAAUUUUUAUAUUUCUAAAUCUCUGGAACUAAUUUCUGUGUUAAGAGCUGCCAAAUUCAAGGUUUCAAGGAGACCUUCACAUAUCAGGGGGUGCGUAUCAAUUUGAUAGAAUUUGACGUUAUUGAAUACACGAACAUUUUACGUUAUUAUAUCUUUUCAAAUCUUUACAAUUUCAGCAAAACAAAA